GGGUGCCCACCACAUCAGGUGGUGAUGCAGGUCAUUCAGGUACAGGUCGGGCCGCCUGUA
rnacentral:ncRNA from 12 species